UACGUAGGGUGCGAGCGUUAAUCGGAAUUACUGGGCGUAAAGCGCGCGCAGGCGGUCUUCCAAGUCAGUGGUGAAAGCCCGGAGCUCAACUCCGGAACUGCCAUUGAAACUGUAAGACUUGAGGACGAGAGAGGUGAGUGGAAUUCCCAGUGUAGAGGUGAAAUUCGUAGAUAUUGGGAAGAACACCGGUGGCGAAGGCGGCUCACUGGCUCGUUUCUGACGCUCAGGCGCGACAGCGUGGGGAUCAAACAGG
rnacentral:rRNA from 1 species